rnacentral:rRNA from 1 species
AUUGAACGCUGGCGGCAGGCCUAACACAUGCAAGUCGAACGAGUGGCGGACGGGUGAGUAAUGUCUGGGAAACUGCCUGAUGGAGGGGGAUAACGACUGGAAACGGUAGCUAAUACCGCAUACCAUCAGAUGUGCCAAGAGGGGAUUAGCUAGUGGGGGGGGGAACGGCUCACCAAGGAGACGAUCCCUAGCUGGUCUGAGAGGAUGACCAGCCACCCUGGAACUGAGACACGGUCCAGACUCCUACGGUAGUCCGCAGUGUGGACUAUUGCACAAUGGGCGCAAGCCGGAUGCAGCCAUGCCGCGUGUAUGAAGAAGGCCUUCGGGUUGUAAAGUACUUUCAGCGGGGAGGCGUUACCCGCAGAAGAAGCACCGGCUAACUCCGUGCCAGCAGCCGCGGUAAUAC